GACGAACGCUGGCGGCGUGCUUAACACAUGCAAGUCGAACGGAAAGGCCCUGCUUUUGUGGGGUGCUCGAGUGGCGAACGGGUGAGUAACACGUGAGUAACCUGCCCUUGACUUUGGGAUAACUUCAGGAAACUGGGGCUAAUACCGGAUAGGAGCUCCUGCUGCAUGGUGGGGGUUGGAAAGUUUCGGCGGUUGGGGAUGGACUCGCGGCUUAUCAGCUUGUUGGUGGGGUAGUGGCUUACCAAGGCUUUGACGGGUAGCCGGCCUGAGAGGGUGACCGGCCACAUUGGGACUGAGGUACGGCCCAGACUCCUACGGGAGGCAGCAGUGGGGAAUAUUGCACAAUGGGCGGAAGCCUGAGGCAGCAACGCCGCGUGCGGGAUGACGGCCUUCGGGUUGUAAACCGCUUUCGCCUGUGACGAAGCGUGAGUGACGGUAAUGGGUAAAGAAGCACCGGCUAACUACGUG
rnacentral:rRNA from 1 species